rnacentral:rRNA from 1 species
UGGGGAAUCUUGCGCAAUGGGCGAAAGCCUGACGCAGCAACGCCGCGUGAGUGAAGAAGGCCUUCGGGUUGUAAAGCUCUGUCAGGGGGGAAGAAGGCACCUGGGUUAAUAGCCCAAGGGCUGACGGUACCCCCAAAGGAAGCCACGGCUAACUACGUGCCAGCAGCCGCGGUAAUACGUAGGUGGCAAGCGUUGUCCGGAAUCAUUGGGCGUAAAGAGCGCGUAGGUGGCUUGCCAGGUCUGAUGUGAAAACUUGGGGCUCAACCCUAAGCCUGCAUCAGAAACCGGCUUGCUAGAGUCUGGGAGAGGAGAGUGGAAUUCCUGGUGUAGCGGUGAAAUGCGUAGAUAUCAGGAGGAACACCGGUAGCGAAGGCGGCUCUCUGGAACAGCACUGACACUGAGGCGCGAAAGCUAGGGGAGCGAACAGG